rnacentral:rRNA from 1 species
GACGUAGGGCGCGAGCGUUGUCCGGAUUUAUUGGGCGUAAAGAGCUCGUAGGCGGCUCGUUGCGUCGGCUGUGAAAACCCGCAGCUCAACUGUGGGCUUGCAGCCGAUACGGGCGGGCUGGGAUUCGGUAGGGGAGACUGGAAUUCCUGGUGUAGCGGUGAAAUGCGCAGAUAUCAGGAGGAACACCGGUGGCGAAGGCGGCUAUCUGGUCUAACACUGACACUGAGGCACGAAAGCGUGGGGAGCAAACAGG